rnacentral:rRNA from 1 species
CGGGGUGCACCAGGCGCGAAAACUCUACAAUGCAGGCAACUGCGAUAGGGGGACAUCGAGUGGCAUCCACCUUGGGUGCCUGUCCAACCGUCUAAAAAACGGUUGUUAGCAAGGGCCGGGUAAGACCGGUGCCAGCCGCCGCGGUAAUACCGGCGGCUCGAGUGGUGGCCGAUAUUAUUGAGUCUAAAGGGUCCGUAGCCGGCUUUGCAAGUCCCCUGGGAAAUCCAGCGGCUUAACCGUUGGGCUUUCACGGGAUACUACAUUGCUUGGGACUGGGAGAGGUAGGAGGUACUCGGGGGGUAGGGGUGAAAUCCUGUAAUCCUCCGGGGACCACCGGUGGCGAAGGCGUCCUACCAGAACAGGUCCGACGGUGAGGGACGAAAGCUAGGGGCACGAACCGGAUUAGAUACCCGGGUAGUCCCAGCCGUAAACGAUGCCCGCUAGGUGUCACGACGGUCGUGAAUCGUCGUGGUGCCGUAGGGAAGCCGCGAAGCGGGCCACUUGGGAAGUACGGCCGCAAGGCUGAAACUUAAAGGAAUUGGCGGGGGAGCACAA